UACAGAGGGUGCAAGCGUUGUUCGGAAUUAUUGGGCGUAAAGCGCGUGUAGGCGGCUUUGCAAGUCGGGUGUGAAAGCCCUCAGCUUAACUGAGGAAGUGCGCCCGAAACUGCAGAGCUUGAAUACCGGAGAGGAUGGCGGAAUUCCCCAAGUAGAGGUGAAAUUCGUAGAUAUCUGGAGGAACACCAGUGGCGAAGGCGGGUCUCUGGACAGUUCCUGACACUGAGGCACGAAGGCCAGGGGAGCAAACGGG
rnacentral:rRNA from 1 species